UAAUGUUACAUUUAUAUGUAUUUAUGUAUAAAAUGGUCUUUAUAAUUUGGGAUUUUAUAAAAAAAAAGGUUUAAAGUUAAUUUGGUUAAUUUUUAUUUUCUGUAACAAAAGUUAAUUAAAUUAAUAAUUUUCUUUUCUAAAUGAGUUGUAUCAGUUAAAUUAUCUUUUUAAGUUAAAUGCUCAAACCCCAAUUAAUAAUAUUUAUUUUGCUGCUAACAAAAUGAGAUUAAAUAGGGAUAACAUAUAAUAUAUAAGGAAGACCAAAAAAAAAAAGGAAAGGUCCAAACAAUAUUUAUAAGUAGAUUUAUCAAGACUGCUUUCCUUUUAAUAAAAUAGAUUCUUAAAUAUUAUUUUUGAUCUACUAUUCAAAGAUUUCUAUAUUGGGGUUGGACUAUCAAAAAUUGAAUUUCCUUCCCAAUUGUAAAUACAGAGUUUAUCAAAUGUUUGAGCGUGUUACAAAAAGACUGUCUUGUACAUAUGCUGAGAAUGCAUUUGCAUAUUGCUCGUCUAUUUUUUUUGUCUUGUACAAAUCCAUUGUAAAACAUGUUAACUAGGAACCUAAUAUACGUGCAUUUUGUUAUGUAAGGGCCCAUUUGUUUUUGAAGGUCUUCCAAAACAUCGAGCUUGUUUUGAGUCUAAGAAUAGAACCAAUUUAUACCGAAAAUAUGAAUAUUUAAGACUAUGAUUUUGUGUGCUGUAUUUUUUAAAAAACAUUUUAUGAUUUAAUUGAAAUAAUUUUCUGUUUGCAAUGUUUAUUAUUUUUAUAAAAUUUCCAAAUAAUAUAAAAUUUUAAAUGUCAAAUUUAGAUUUUAAAAUGUUAAAUUUUAAUUAUUACUAGUUUAUUUUGGUUAUUUUACAAAAUUUUAAAUAAAUAUGAUAGAUUUGGCUAAUUUUGAAUACUUUGUAUCUUUUUCCAGUUUCAAAUAUUUGAACCCGAACCAGAUCUAAUAUGGACACAAAAGUUACAUGUAUUUUAUAUGUAUUUUAAUUCUAGAUUCGAACCGAUUUAGAUCUGAAAGAAACUGAUUCGAAUCUGAAUUGAAAAUUAUCAAAUACCUAGCUAGAUUCAAAUGACUAGAAUUUGGAGAAUUCAAAUUCGACCCGAAAAUGAAAAUGUCCAGACCUAGAAACAAUGUUUGUUAUGGGAUCGUAUACUGUAUAGAAAAUUGUCAUUGCAGAAUUGAGUCAUUUGACCGUAAAACAUUUGUAGUGAUCGUAUAUAGAGUAUGUUAUAGAUAGUCAAAAUAAAUUAUUGGUCAUUACUUUUAUACGAUAUGAUCAAGUAAUAAAUUAAUUACUGCUUGCUUGUUUUAGGAACGGAGAAACCGUGCACAAUUUUGUAACUUCUCUUUAACCGUGCACAAUUUAUUUAAUACUGCAGUACAAUUUUGGAUUAAGGCAUCUCUGAUCUCAUUAUAUAUUUUAUUCAAAAAAAGUGAAAAUAAAAUAACGUACAAAAAAUAAAAACAUUACUGUAUAUUCAUUUUUCAUUCUAUUUUAGAGUAGAAUAUGAAGUGAGGUUAGAACACUUAUACCGUAAAAACUCUUUUAAUUAAUAAUAUUGGAACCAUGAUAUUUAUUAAUUUAUAGAAUUAUUAAUUUAUAAAAAGUUUACUUUCUGGAUUUUUAUUUUAAAAUAUAUUUUUAUAAAAUAAACAUAAUAAUUUAUUUUAUUGUAUAUUGACCAAUUAAAUAUGGUUUGGAUAUAAUUUUACUAUAACAUAAACAAAAUAUAUUAAACUGUUAAAAAAUAUAGAGAUAAUUAUAUUGUAAAAUAAAGCAAAUAAUACAAUUGUUUAUUUUUACUUAAAUAAAAUUUAUAUAUAUAGAAAAAAUAUUAAUUUUUAUUUCAAUUGGACUAUAUAUUUACAUAAGACUUUUAAAUUAUUAUUAUUUUAUUCUUUUAUCAAUUUGUGUUAUAUUUUGAACCAGCCCAACUCACGACAUGAAAAAUUUAUUAAUUUAUAGUGUUUAUUAAUCUAUAGAAUAUUAUUUUAUAGAGUUUCUAUUGUAUAACUCUUUAAGCAUGAACAAUUUAUCCAGACCGAAAAUCCAAAACUCAGACCGAUUCAAAAAUACCUAAUUCGAAACUGAACCAAAAAUCUGCAAGUGUCUAAUUAAGUCCAAAAUUUAUCUACCCAAAAGAGCUGGAACAUGAAAAGAACCAACCCAAAUAUACUCUGGUCCGAAAAAAACUGAUUCAAAUAGAUUCGUUUUGAUAAAAACCAAUUUUUACCCGACCAAAGAACAUGAAUAUCCAAGAAUAGGACUCCAUGUGCUAUAUUUUAUAAAUUUUAGUUUUUGAUUUAGUUGAAAUAUCUUUUUGUUAGCAAUCUUCAUUAUUAUUUAUUAAAAUUUCAAGUAAUAAAAAAAUUUAAAUGCCAAAUUUAUAGUUUAAUAAUGUUUAAUUGUAAUUAUUAAUAUUUUUGCAAUAUUUGAGAUAAAUAUGAUGGAUUUUGACUAACUUUUAAUCGAAUUAGGUACUUCUGCUCUUUUUGGAUCCUAGAUAUCUGAAUCCGAUUUGGAGUCGCUAUAGACCCAAAAAUUACAAAUAUUUUACAAGUAUUUAAUUAUAUAUUAUAAUUAACAUUAACUCGAGAAGAAAUAAUCCAAACCUAAAUCGAAAAUUUCUAAGUAUUUUGUUGGAUCCAAAUGUAUAAAACCUGAAGAACCUGAGUUUUAAAAAACUGAUCAGAAGAUCUGAACGCCUAUGAAUCUUUAUCAAUAAACCAAAAAAGGAUGGAGCACGAAAAAAAUGAAUAGUUCCUUUUUUUAAAAGGAUAAUUGUUAUGCAGUUGGGUAUACGAAUACAAAGCCUACAAACAGUAGCUAUCCAAAUAAUUCAUAGGCCGCAUGUAAAAUAAGACUAAUUCUAACUGACAAAUAAAAUAAACUUAUCUUUUUUUUUGCCAACAAAAAUAUAUUUUCCAAUAUCACUUGUAUAGGUUUUGACCGUAAAUCACAACUAGCGAUAUAAUAUAAGUGACAAAUAAAUUUACUCUGAUUUCAGCUAUUUUAUCCCCAAUCAGGUGGAACACUUUUUACGCACUCUAUUUACUAUUCAAGAGAGAUCAGAGACAGUGUCGCUGUUCCUCCUAGCUUAGGGCAUCUCCAAUGUAACUCUAUUUUUUUCUCUAUAUUUACACAAAAAUAGAGUAAUUCUAUUAUAGUGUAACUUUUGCUCCAAUAGUGUUACUCUAUAAUAGAGUAAAAAAUAAAGUCCCCUUGAAAAUGGCCUUAGGAAGAAGAAAAUAUUCUCGCUGGAUUUCACCUUCUUUUUUUAUUAUUUAUUCUAUCAAUUUCUUCUUCUUCUUUUUUUUUUUGACAACUUCUAUCAAUUUCUUCUUAUUUUUUUUUUUUACCAUCUUAAUAUUAUAUUAAACCAACAAGAGACACAAGUACUUAUACAAACAAAGCAAUAACAAAGGCCCAAAAAACAGCCAACGGCCCACAAACAACAACUUUGACUAAACAAGUACGAGGCCCAACAUAAGCCCACAAGCACCACCCCAUCGGAAAGACACGUUAUCACACGUGUUUCGACAAAUGAUGAAGCUACGAAACACGCGUCGAGAACCACCUGCAUGCCUCCACCUGUCAGAACUUUACACCGGAGACCAAUCUCAUCGGCGCCACCGGAAAAGGCCGGGAACCAUGAAUACAACGACUACCCCACCAACAAAGCUUGCGUCUUCAUCUCUUUAAUUCCAAAUAUCGGAGAGCAUCAAUCGAGAAAUCGAGAUCUCAUCCUACUUCCAUUGCAUAAACACCGAGAGAAGAAGCUUUCAACAAAUCGGAACCACCAGACACCGAAGAGCUUCAAAACGAACGAAGCUUCCAACUUUUUUCUUCACCGCCUUCGCUUCAUCAAUAUCAGAGAGAUUAAUCGAUCUAUUCGAAAAUCUCAUCCGAAGAAGCCAAAAAACCGACAACACAGGACAAGGGUCGACAGACGAGAAGCCGACAAAUCAUCACCUAAUGGAAAGAUGUGGUCUCCGGAGUCAAAACUGGACGCCCAUCAAAAGGAAGAUGCGACACCGAGACAGAGCCGGACAUGCAACACCGCGGAGCCGUUCAUGCCGGAGAGAGAUCACGAGAAAAACAUGCAACCCGUAAAAAGAAAAAAAAACCAAAAUCCGGACCGACGGUGGCUGUGGAAGCCCAUCCCGCCGGCCAGAAGCACUUUCACGGUGGUUAGGUCUAGAGAGAAGGCAGAGAUUUUUAAUAGAGAGAGAGA